rnacentral:rRNA from 1 species
UACGAAGGGGGCUAGCGUUGCUCGGAAUCACUGGGCGUAAAGGUGCGUAGGCGGGUUUUAAGUCAGAGGUGAAAUCCUGGAGCUCAACUCCAGAACUGCCUUGAUACUGAAAGUCUUGAGUAUGGAGAGGUGAGUGGAACUGCGAGUGUAGAGGUGAAAUUCGUAGAUAUUAGGAAGAACACCAGUGGCGAAGGCGGCUCACUGGUCCGGUACUGACGCUGAGGUGCGAAAGCGUGGGAGCAAACAGG